rnacentral:lncRNA from 1 species
UUUUAGAUAGAAUGUUCUAACAUGAAAUCUGAAGCUGCAGAGCAGAUGUAGGGAGUGGUAGGUUGAGAUCCGACUUAGAUUUACUUCCCAAAGAAAAUACUUUUUAUUUUGGAAAGGCAAGUAUAAGUUUUAAACAUGGUUUGAAUAACUUCACUAAAGAGAAUAAAUUGGCUCAUGUAAAAUGCUCUUUUAUGAAUUCCCCUCGUCGUAUUUUGUUAGUGUUGCCAGGGUUUCUUUAAUUAAUUUGUAAAUCAUAUUGAGACCUUUGGCCUCAAGUUGUAAGAAAACUGCAUACUAUUUUAGCAUUAUGAUUUCUAAAAGAGCUUCCAUAUGACUCCAGGGGCAAAACAAUACGUGAGAUGCUGCUAUUAUGAAGGAAGAAACCUUUGGAGUAGGAGUGUUAUGGACAUUUGAAAGGAGAAUCCUAAGAAGCAUGGAACUUAAUAUGUGGAGACCCAGCACCUGAGAGGAGCGCUGUGGAAGACGGGAAGAAGGAGAAUAUCAUAAAUCAAUGCAUGGAAGCAUUCAACCAAAGGGAAGACCUGCUCCACACAGAGAACAGCGCUGGGAAUUGAAUCUUACGAUAAAGAAAAAGAAGACCUGCAAACUUCUUUCUCUUGUGUCUCUGACAGCUGAUGGAGAGAUGGAAACCCUCAUUGUCAUUUGGCCCUAACCAAGCCUAACAGAAAGCCUAUCACUUGGGGAAUCCAAAAAUGUCUUUAAAUUUUUGUCAAAUAUGUGUUCAGAAGAGGAAUCACCACCAGCCAUUCCCAGAGAGAAAUGUUGGUUGUUGAUUCCCGUCUCCGCAGGGUGUCAGCUGCAUUUGGAACAGAGCCUCAGGAGGAACAGCAAGGAAAGCUCUUUUUUGCUUUUGCAGGUCUAUGACUGCUCCCUACCAGCUCAGAAGGAAAUUCCAUGCAGAAUACUAAAUGAGAUCUCUGUUCUCUCGCCAUUUUGUACUCUGCAUUGUCGUUGUCGUGUUUGGCUAUUGCUUGCUGUAGUAACCAAGGCAUUGCAGCCCGAACAGUGUUUCUACAGAGAAGAUGAUCAAUGACAUACAGGACAUAGUCACCAGCAACCACGCUUCUUGAAAUCUAGGAUCCCACGAAUUGUAAGAAGCAUAAAUUCAUGUAAAAUUAAAAAACAGUGGAAAAAAAGAAAGAAAAAUGCUGCCAAUCAAUCUACAAAAUGUCAUCAAUUCUAAGACUCAUCACAGUUUCAGAGAAUUAAAAUAUGAAAACGUCUUUGAAUUGCUAAAAUAUAAUAAAUUGUUCCUCUCAAAUCCUGAGUGAGUUGUUUAGCUGUAUAGAUGAUAUGACAGAAUCAGACUGGCAAGAGGGAAAAUUGAAUUAUAAAAGUAAAUAGUCAGCUUCUAUUUUUAAGAUAUCCUCUACAAGGCAAAUAGAACUCACCACAAUGAGAAGUUGUGAAGCCAAUUGAAUCGACAAAACCUCCCCAUCUCAUAUUCCUUCCUCACUUAGUUCCUAACCAUCUCUCCUAUAAUAAGGAGAAAUCCACAUUUUACCAAGAUUCCCAGGUGAUUCUUGUGCACAAUAAAAUUUGAGAUGUGCCAGCCUAGAACAUACAAUGCACUGUCCCUAAAUGGAGUAAGAUGUGUGAUGACCCUCUAAUAGCUGGUGAAAGAAUGGGAACUGCUUUGUUUUGUGAAAUAAUACAAUCUACUUAGAAGUAAUGAAUUCAUAGUAUUUCCAACAGCUCAUUGGAGAACAUAAUUAAAUGUCAAAACCUUGAUGGAAUAAAAGAUCCUGUUUGUCUCCCUCCCCUGAAGACUAUUUUGAGUUACACAGUUGCAUAUUCGGAAAAAAAAAUCAAUCUUAUAAGAGGGCUUUGCUUUAAGUAUAAAAAUAUUGUAGUGAGGGGUUUUAUUCAAGUACAUAUAAAAAAGUCAUGUAUUCCAGAAGCAAAAAUUAUGUACAUAUCGUACCCAUACAUUUAAUUAGUCAUUGUAUUUGGUGUACAAAUGGCCUUACAGUUUAGGAGACAAAUAAAAAGUAUGCUUUUGCUUGUUCUUAUUUUUGAUCAAUCAAAAUAGUGAAAGUGCUUCCUGUGUUUUACUUCUAUAUUUUGAAGAGCGGGAAUACAUCCACUCCAUUUUGAUCUGAUUAAAUGUCUCAGGUUAUUUUAAACCUCUCUCAUCUCUCACUCCUUUCUGGCUUUUUCGCCAUUUCUCUUACAAUCAAGGGAAAUAGAGACAGUUAAAAGAAAAUUGAGAAAUCUGUCUAUGUAAAGUAAUUAAUUUUUAAAAAUUGUUCUGCUGUAUGCUUGAAAGAGGAGGCAAAAAAAAAAAAAGAAAAGAACCUCAAAAACUCGCAAAAAAAUGUGUUUCUAAGUCCAUAAUAUUCAAUUAUAAAUCAAUGGUACGUGAUUUAACCUAAAUUCCAAAAAUGACUGAAAUGUUUUCUUCGUCACUAACAUG